rnacentral:lncRNA from 10 species
AAGGAGACAUCCUGGGAGCUCUGAGGCCCGACAUUGUGCUGGGGAAGGAGCUCCAGAAAGGGCCAUCCUUUCUGUUUUGGUUCAGUAUCUGAACACUUUUGCUAAAGGUCUCUGGAAAGCUCCCUGUGUUAAUUCUCGAUGAGACUACGUCUGUGCCGGCCGCUUCCUGAGCCUCCUUCCAUGUGCAUAGGCCUGCUGCAUGCUGGAGACCUGCGGCACAGCUGCCAAGUGCCCCGUGUGGUUCUGUGAUCUUGGGACAGUCACUUCCUCUCUGUGGUUGUCAGUCUUCUCAUCCCUAAGG